GUCCACGCAGUAAACGAUGAAUACUAGCUGUAUGCGAUAUACUGUAUGUGGCAAAGCGAAAGCGUUAAGUAUUCCACCUGGGGAGUACGUUCGCAAGAAUGAAACUCAAAGGAAUUGACGGGGGGCCCGCACAAGCGGAGGAACAUGUGGUUUAAUUCGAUGAUACGCGAGGAACCUUACCCGGGCUUGAAAUGCAUCUGACCGACUUGGAAACAGGUCUUCUAGCAAUAGCAGAUGUGUAGGUGCUGCAUGGUUGUCGU
rnacentral:rRNA from 1 species